GGGGUUGUAGCUCAGUGGUAGAGCACAUGCCUCAAAUGCAUAAGGCACUGGGUUCAAUCCUCAGUACCACA
rnacentral:tRNA from 1 species